CUUACCCAGACAACGCUUAUCCCCUUACAGAAUCAUAUUAAGUUUUCCACGUGGUUUUGUGGCACCCUACACAGCACAUAUGAACUUGGAACGGCUUAAUCAACUCUGGGGCCCUCAGCCAACUUAGGCCAGCUCUCCUGCUCCUUGCUCUCUACAACUCACAAUAAUUCUGUAGUUGCCACAUGAACUUUUUCCUAGUUGGUACAAAAAAAACAAGGACCAGAGGCUGUGCUCCCGCUUAGGGAGAAACUGCAGCGCCCUAAGGGAGGAAUGGAGGAGUCUGUUUCUGAUUGAGUUCACACUGGGGGGGAGGGGCCAGAUGUGAAAAACAUCUGUCCUGGCCAGCAGAGGCCUGAGGCCCUUCAGGGAGGGCCUAGCCAGAGAGGAAGGCAAAUAGCAGAGCCACUAAGCAGCUAAGGUCAGUACAGAAGCAGAAGCAGAGAGAGCAAAAGACCUCAAAGAUCCAGAAGAGCAGCACAGAAAUGGCUGAAAUGAGAAAACAUUCUGAAGAGAUUAGUUCAGCUGACUUGAACAGCUCAGGAGAGGGGAGAUGACCUAGGAUGGUCAGGACAAAUGAUAGCCAGAGAAAGAUAGAAGAGGUGAGGAUACAUGUUAACUGAACAACCAAGUUUGAAUGUCUUUCCAAACCUCAGGGUGAAAUGGUUAUUCAGAAGACAAAAAUGCCUAUAUUUUUAUCACCUUACUUAACAUCCUGGUGAAUCACAUACUAAAUUCAAUUAGGAAACCAAUGUCUAAUUAUUUUCCCCCAUAAAGCCUGAUUCUAAUUGUCUAAUAUCCCAGCAGUAGUUCUAAACUUUGCCUAAACUUUAGAAGCACAUGGGGUGUUUUUAAAAAAUAAUGAUGCCCAGGGCUGGGGCUGUAGCUCAGUGGCAGAACGUUUGCCUGGCACAUGUGAGACACUGGGUUCAAUUCUCAGCACCGUGUACAAAAAAAUAAAAUAAAGGUCCAUCGGCAACUAAAAAAUAUAUAUAUUUUAAAAAAAUACUGAUGCCCAAGGUGCAUCUCAGAUUAAUAGAGUAAGGAUUUCUGGGAGUGCCUCCUGAGAAUUCAACAUUUUAAAAACUAUUCAUGGCGAUUCGUUUUUCUUAUGUAGCCAAAAGUCAAUGACCAGUAAAUGUAAUUGAAUGUGAUAUUAUGAUCUAAAAUGAAAUAAGCAUAUAGAAAUAGAAAUUAACUAAGCAAAACUAGUUGUUAUUAUUCAACUUGACUACUUUACAUGGAAUUGGUUCUUUUUUAUUUUUUGUCACUUAAGAAAUAAAUAUUUGGGAGAAGACAGGAGUGCCCCCACCUGGUCCAAAAGAGAAAACUUCAUGCUUUGUUGUUUUUCACCAAACACAACAGUUUUGGAUGACCCUUUGGAUAAAACUUUUCUUUUUAGAAAUGUGUUUAUCUCUGGUUAUAGUAACAGAAACUGGGUAAGACAGUGAUGGACACUUCAGCGACCCUUAUCUGAUCAUUCUGUAUUGUGUGCAUGUAUUGAAAUGCUACCUGUACCCCAUGAAUAUGUAUGAUUUUUCUGAGCCAACUAAAAACAACAGUAUAUUAACAAAAAAGAACAGACAUUAUUACCUGAGUAUAUACAUAUAUAUAUGACUGCAUGACUGAUGUGAUUCUACAACAUGUACAAUCAGAAAUAUGAGAAAUUAUACCCAAUUUAUGUAUAUCAAAGUGCAUAAAUGCAUUCUACUCUCAUGUAUAACUAAUUAAAACAAAUUAAAAAAUCCCUUGGACAUACUUAAUGGGAACUGAAAACAAGUUAACAACUCUACUUAAUAAUUCUAGAAAAUUUCUCCCAAUGAACACUUUUUUUACUUGAUUAAUUUGCAGAAUCCCCAGUAUACUGUAGAAAACCAGGAAAAUUAAGUGGUUAAGAGAGGAAAGCUGGACCCCACUGCCUGCCUCCACUAGUACCAUGGGAAGUUACUUAGUCUCCAUCUUCCUUAGUUUUAUCCUCUGUAAAAUGUGGAUGAAAUAAUACCUACCUUACAAGGGAAUUGUCAGGAUUAAUCCUAAUGUAAAUAAUAAGCGUAGGACAGUGCCUGCCUGGAGCAGUGGGUGUCAGUUAUCAUCAUUAAAGGGAUUUAUUUUGAAAUAUUGAUAUUUCACAUGACCCAGAUAUAGAUAUACCACUCCACAGUGUUUAUCCUAUAGAAUUAAAAUCAUCAUACUAUAGCAAUAUAUGCAUCCCCAUGCACAACUGACAGUAGCCAAACUAUGCAACCAGCCUAGGUGUCCAUCAGUGGAUGAAUGGAUAAAGAAAAUGUCACACACACACACACAAUGGAGUUUUAUUCAGCUGUAAAGAAGAGUGAAAUUCUGUCAUUUUCAGGAAAAUGGAAUUUGAAAACAUUAUGUUAAGCAAAACAAGUUAAACUCAGAAAGUCAAGGGUGGUAUAUUUUCUCUCAUAUUUGGAAGCUAGAGAGGAAAAAGAAAAAGAAAGUUAGGGGAUGGUCUCAUGAAAACUGAAGAGAGAACAAGAGAGGAAAGGGACCAGAGGGAGGAAGGGAGAGAAAGGGAAAUACUUGCGAAUGAUAUUAGCCAAAUUAUAUUGUUAUAUUGCAUGCAUGUAUGACUAUUAACAACAAAUCCCACCACUAUAUACAACUAUAAUGCAC
rnacentral:lncRNA from 1 species